rnacentral:rRNA from 1 species
CGGAGGGUGCAAGCGUUAUCCGGAUUCACUGGGUUUAAAGGGUGCGUAGGUGGGUUGGUAAGUCAGUGGUGAAAUCUCCGAGCUUAACUUGGAAACUGCCAUUGAUACUAUCAGUCUUGAAUACCGUGGAGGUUAGCGGAAUAUGUCAUGUAGCGGUGAAAUGCUUAGAUAUGACAUAGAACACCAAUUGCGAAGGCAGCUGGCUACACGAAUAUUGACACUGAGGCACGAAAGCGUGGGGAUCAAACAGGAUUAGAUACCCUGGUAGUCCACGCCCUAAACUAUGGAUACUCGACAUACGCGAUACACUGUGUGUGUCUGAGCGAAAGCAUUAAGUAUCCCACCUGGGAAGUACGAUCGCAAGAUUG